AUGUGAACUUACCAUUGUUGCCUCGGCAGAA
rnacentral:rRNA from 3 species